rnacentral:tRNA from 9 species
GCCCAGGUGGCGGAAUUGGUAGACGCACCGUCUUCAGGUGGCGGCGCUCGUAAGGGCGUGGAGGUUCGAGUCCUCUCCUGGGCACCA